rnacentral:tRNA from 1 species
GGCCUUAGCUUAAGUAAAGUGUCUGAGUUGCAUUCAGGCGAUGUAGUUUUGUGUAAUUACAGGCCUU